AUUGAACGCUGGCGGCAGGCCUAACACAUGCAAGUCGAACGGCAGCACAGAAGAGCUUGCUCUUUGGGUGGCGAGUGGCGGACGGGUGAGUAAUGUCUGGGAAACUGCCCGAUGGAGGGGGAUAACUACUGGAAACGGUAGCUAAUACCGCAUAACGUCGCGAGACCAAAGUGGGGGACCUUCGGGCCUCACACCAUCGGAUGUGCCCAGAUGGGAUUAGCUAGUAGGUGGGGUAAUGGCUCACCUAGGCGAAGAUCCCUAGCUGGUCUGAGGGGAUGACCAGCCACACUGGAACUGAGACACGGUCCAGACUCCUACGGGAGGCAGCAGUGGGGAAUAUUGCACAAUGGGCGCAAGCCUGAUGCAGCCAUGCCGCGUGUAUGAAGAAGGCCUUCGGGUUGUAAAGUACUUUCAGCGGGGAGGAAGGCGGUGAGGUUAAUAACCUUGCCGAUUGACGUUACCCGCAGAAGAAGCACCGGCUAACCCCGUGCCAGCCGCCGCAGUAA
rnacentral:rRNA from 1 species